rnacentral:rRNA from 1 species
CCUACGGGCGGCAGCAGUAGGGAAUCUUCCACAAUGGGCGAAAGCCUGAUGGAGCAACGCCGCGUGGGUGAAGAAGGUCUUCGGAUCGUAAAACCCUGUUGUUAGAGAAGAAAGUGCGUUAGAGUAACUGUUCACGUUUCGACGGUAUCUAACCAGAAAGCAACGGCUAACUACGUGCCAGCAGCCGCGGUAAUACGUAGGUGGCAAGCGUUAUCCGGAUUGAUUGGGCGUAAAGGGAACGCAGGCGGUCUUUUAAGUCUGAUGUGAAAGCCUUCGGCUUAACCGGAGUAGUGCAUUGGAAACUGGGAGACUUGAGUGCAGAAGAGGAGAGUGGAACUCCAUGUGUAGCGGUGAAAUGCGUAGAUAUAUGGAAGAACACCAGUGGCGAAAGCGGCUCUCUGGUCUGUAACUGACGCUGAGGUUCGAAAGCGUGGGUAGCAAACAGGAUUAGAUACCCCUGUAGUC